GGGUGUGUGUCUGCGUACGAUCGCAGGAGAAGGGGGAAAAGGGGGUGUAAACCCUAACCACAAAAAAAAUCAUCAAUUGAAAAGGAAAUCGCGGGUUGAUUGUGUGCAUGAACCAAGAAUGAUGAUCCCUUAAGCGUUUCUCACAUCAAUGAUGCGAACGUGUCAAGGAGAGGUCAAGCAUAGGAGGAUAACGGGUCAAGAUAAGGCAAGGUGACAAAUACACUUAUUGGAGUACUCGAGGUAAGUGAAUUUCGAUUCACUUUUUAGUAGGUUUAAUAGAUUUUAAUACUUAUGUUUACGAAACAUCAUGAAAGAACAUGUAAUAAUCAGAAGUACAAAGCCAAUAAUGCCUCAUUAUUGAAGAAGGUUGUAUUUAAGCCGAAAGUAAAUUGGUGGGUUUAAACGGGUCGAAUUUUAUGUGCAUAUGUUGCGUAAUGUAAUGGAAUUCGUUAUGGUUAAGACCUUGGGUAAGAAUUUUUAGUCAUUAUGUUAGGGGAACAUUUCCCGGACCAUUAGGAACAAGUUUUAUAUGAUUCGGUUGUCGGUUAGUGAAUGAACGGAUUGUUUGGUGUUAGUGUAGGAAAUUUUAUAAGUAUAUGUGUAUAGGAAUCCAAAGGGCACGUGGGUUGAAUCAUAGAUUGUCUAUACUAUGUAAAGUUGUGAAUGUGACAUUCUGGCAUAAACCUACAUGUAAAAGAAGCUUGUGUAUAUAUUCGUGAUUAAUUGAUUGUGCGUAGGAAGGAACAUUGGCAUGUAUGAAGGUACGCAUGUAUAUAUAUAAGUGUAUAUAUAUAUAUGUAUGUAUGUAUGUAUGUAUGUAUGUAUGAUAAUAAGUACGUAGGUGUGAAUGUAUGUGUGAAUGAAUGUUCAAUGCUUAAGACAUAUGCAUGAACGUUAUCAAAGUGUUCGAGUAUUUAUGGAUACUAAUGAUGUGCGUUGAGUUGGAAUGUAAUGUAGGUAUGGGAUCGUUGGCUUCAUGAAGAAAUGGAGCUAGAUUUGGAUAAGAGUAUUUAAGAAAGCGCUUGGACAAUUCCACGACUACUUUAUAGAAUGCUCUACGAAAUUCUAUUAUAUGGUUUAAUGUUGUAUGGUAUGUUAAUGACUAAUGGUUUGGUUGUACGUGGUGUCCACAGGUAUCGCUUGGGUUUUCUCUACAUUUAUUGAAGUGAAGCGGACUUAGUUCGAGUUGAGAGCAAGGAUUGUACGGGGUAGAAUGGUCACAUAGUGUAACUCAUAUAGGUUUUGAAGUAUUAAUGUUAUAAAUCCGUUUUAAUGAAUAUAUGGCAUUUCGCAUUUGAACCUUCAUGUGUUUGAUAUGUCUAUUAAAGAACGAAAUUUUUGG
rnacentral:lncRNA from 1 species